UACGUAGGGUGCGAGCGUUGUCCGGAAUUAUUGGGCGUAAAGAGCUCGUAGGCGGCUUGUCGCGUCGGAUGUGAAAGCCCGGGGCUUAACUCCGGGUCUGCAUUCGAUACGGGCAGGCUAGAGUUCGGUAGGGGAGAUCGGAAUUCCUGGUGUAGCGGUGAAAUGCGCAGAUAUCAGGAGGAACACCGGUGGCGAAGGCGGCUCGCUGGGCAGUGGCUGACGCUGAGGCGCGACAGCGUGGGGAGCAAACAGG
rnacentral:rRNA from 1 species